AGGAGGAAGAAGAGGAAGAAGAAGAAGAAAGGAGGAGGAGGAGGAGAAGAAAAAGAGGAGGAAGAGGAAGAAAAGGAAGAGGAAAAAGAAGAAAGAAGAAGAGACGGGGGACAAGGAAAAGGAGGAGGAAGAGGAGAAAUAACCAUGGGAGGAUAAAGAACCAAAAGAGGGAGAAAAACAACAAUCACAUUGUUGAUUCAAGAUGCAGAAAACUAUAGGGCUGAAUGCUUAAACCCCCAUACUUUCUCUUUAUUGAUUCACAUCUUCAAAUUGAGGGGAAUGUAGGGAGAGGCAGAGGGAUAAAGAAAGGAAGGAAGGGAGAAAGACAGGAAGAGAGACAGAAAUAGAGGAAUGCAGGGAGAAAAAGAUAUGUUUUCUCAGAAAAUCACAAGGAAUGUACCCAAGCAAGACUCAAGUAAGCCUAUUUACAGCUCCUCAGACCUUAAAGCUCACUAAUAAGAAGCUAUCUCUUUAAGAAAGAGAUCAUAAGGUAGCCUAGAUCAACACCUCCCUACACACUCCACCCUCAGUGUCACCCUCCCCUAACUAAAGGACAAACUUUCUUCCCACUUAGAUUUCUUUCUUCCACUGAAGGUAGGUUGGGAAGCUAAGAAGUGAAUAAAAAUAGAUAUUAUUUCCAAGUUGGCUGGGUAACUUUGUUUUGUUUUGUUUUUUCAAUGGGAUCCAGUACAGGUUGACAAGCAAAUUUUGGAUUCCCCUGAAAUCCUCUGAAUGCAUCCCUAAUGUCUGGAGAACAAAUCCAGGGACCACUUGAAGAUCUUGUUUCAUAAGGAGUCUCAGACACAAGUGGAAAAGAUUUCCAAAAGCCAGAAUGGAAGGGACAAUCCUAGCCCCUUGGGCUAUCACUUUGGUGAUCAUUGGGGCUGUCCUGAUAAUGACCUCAUUGAUGAUCCUCCCUCCUGUGGCCCUCCUCAUCUGGAGAAUUCACCAGAUGCCAGAGAUCUCAUUGGUAGGAAUCAUAUAGAUCCAGGCCCUCUCCAGACCUCUGCUGCUUCAAACUUAUUCUUUCCCAGAUGUCAUUACUAAGACAAAAAUGUCUUGAGCCAUUUGUGAAAUUCAAAUAACCUUUACCUUCAUGUCUCAAACUUUCAAUGGCUCUUCUGUGUUAGACAACUGCUUCCCCUUCAAAGAAUCACAGAAUUUAAAAGAAGCAACCAAACUCUCCAUAGUACAUGUAAAAAAACUGAAGCCCAGAAGAGGGAAAUGAUCUGCUCCAAAGCCGCAUAGCUAGUAAGUGGCAGACAAGAGUCAAACCCAGAUCUAACUAUAGAUCAGAAUAUUAGCUCUUUCCUUUCUUUUGCGUAUGUGUCCAACUGGGGCCAUACUUUACUGUGUCCUUCUAGGAUCUUGGUGAAGUGGCCUGUUGUUACUAUACAAAAUGCUCUGACUGCACACCAGCAGAUAGAGAACUAAUGGACAAAAAAUUUCAUCUAUGGCCUUUCAACCUCAAUGUGGCUCUUUGAAGUAGUAAAGUCACUUGGCAGAGUGACAUUGCAGAAUCACAAAAAAAACAGUAGCUUGAAAGGACUAGAAAUAUUCUAGUUCAAUCCUCUCAUUUUACAGCAAAGAAAGCAGAAAAUUCCUAGAGAAGUUAUUUGAUUGGCUCAUGAUCACAGAAAGUAAAGAACAGAAGCAAGAUGUGAAAUCUAACCCAAAUCCAGCAGAAUUCCUUGUAAGAAUCAGCAUAAUAUCAAUUCUUGAGACACUCUUGUUUUAUUGUAUGUAAUAAGGAUAAGCUGGAAGCAUUCCCAGUAAGAACAGGGGUGAAACAAGAAUGCCCAUUAUCACCAUUAUUAUUCACCAAAAUUAUUCAGUUUUUGCCCAUUUAGUUCCCUAUCUCUGGUGUGCAGUCAGAGCAUUUUGUGUAGUAACAAGAGGCCACUUCACCAAUUGUACUAGAAAGAACUAGCUUUAAUGAUGAGAAGGAAAAUAAAUUGAAAGAACUAGAAUAAGCAAUGAAGAAACAAAACUAUCACUUUUUGUAGAUAAUAUGAUAGUUAGAAAAUCCUUCAGAAUAACUAAAAAACUGUUUGAAACAGUUAACAACUAGCAAAGUUGCAGGAUAUAAAAUAAACGCAUAUAAAUCAUCAGCAUUUCUAUAUAUUGACAACAAAGUUCUGCAGCAUGAGAUAAAUAGAGAAAUUUCAUUUAAAAAAUGUGUACAAUAGAAAAUAUUUGGGAGUUUACCUGCCAAGACAAACCCAGGAACUAUAUGAACAUAGUUACAAAACACUUUUUGCACAAAUUAAAGUCAGAUCUAAACAACUGGGAAAAUAUUGAUCGUUCAUGGGUAAACUAAACUAAUAUAAUAAAAAUUAGAAAUUUACCUAAAUUAAUCUACAUAUUCAGUGCCAUACAAAUCAAAAUACCAAAUAAUAAUAAUAUUUCUUAAAGCUAGAAAAAAUAAUAACAAAACUCAUACAGAAUGUAAAGUUAUAUUACAAAGCAGCAAUCAUCAAAACAAUUUGGUGCUGGCUAUUUAGGUAUUUAGGUGCAUAAAACAGUGGCAAAUUUACUAUUUGAUAAACUCAAAGAGAAUAGCUUCUGGGAUAAGAACUCACUUUUUGACAAACUGCUCGGAAAACUGGAAAACAGUAUGGGAGAAACUAGGCAUUGAUCAGCAUUUCACACCUUAUACCAAAAUAAGGUGUAAAUAGGUUCGUGAUUUAGAGAUAAAGGUUGAUACUAAAAGUGAAUUAGGAAAGCAAGGAAUAUUUUAUCUGUCAGAUCUCUGGAGAAGAGGGAAAUUUAUAAUCAAACAAAAGAUAGAGAACAUUAUGAAAUACAAAAUAGAUAAUUUUGAUUACAUUAAAUUUAAAAGUUUUUGCACAAGAAAACCAAUACAAGCAAAGCCUCAUUUCUAAAAUAUAUAAAGAACUGAGUAAAAUGUGCUAUUUUUGUGAUAGCAAAGAAUUAGAAAUUGAAGGGAUACCUAUCAAUUGGGGAAUGCUGAACAAGUUGUGGUAUAUGAAUGUAAUGGAAUAUUAUUGUACUAUAAAAAAAAUUAUGAGCAGUCAGAUUUCAGAAAAACCAAAAAAGAUGAUGAACUGAUGCAGUAUAUAGUGAACAGAACCUGAGGAACAGUGUACAAAGUAACAACAAUAUUAUGUAAUGCUCAACUAUGAUAGAUUUAGCUCUUCUCAGCAAUACAGUGAUCCAAGAUGAUUUCAAAAGACUUAGGAUGGAAAAUAACAUCCAUAUCCAAAGAAAGAACUAUGGAGUCUGAAUGCAGAUAAAAUUUGUUUUUUCUUUCUUUUUUUUUGUGGUUUUCCUUUUUGUUCUCAUUCUUUUUUUACAAAAUGAUUGAUAUGGAAAUAUGUUUAACAUGAUUAUAGAUUUAUAGUCUAUAUUUGAUUGCUUAAUAUCUUGGGGAGGGUGGAGGGAAGAAAAGAAAGGGAAAAUUUUGCAAUUCAAAAUUAAUAAAAAUAAUGUUGAAAACUAUCUUUACAUGUAAUUGAAAAAAAUAAAAUGCUAUUAAGUGUCUUUUUGAAAGACACUCUUUCUCUGACUUAGAUAUAUACAUAAAGCAAUGAGAAUGUUGUUUCAAUCAGCCAAUUCAAUCAAUCAACCAAUAAGUAUUUAUUAUGCACUUACUAUAUGCCAGGAAUUAUUCCAGGUGCUGGGGCCACAAAUAUAAAAGUGAAAUGCUUCCUACCAUUGAGGAGCUUGCAUUCAUUCUAGAAAAGGGAAUCAAUAUAAAUAGGUAGGAAGAUAGACUGGGGUGGGGGGAAGA